UACGUAGGGGCAAGCGUUGUCCGGAAUGACUGGGCGUAAAGGGCGUGUAGGCGGCCGAUUAAGUCUGGAGUGAAAGUCCCGCUUUCAAGGUGGGAAUUGCUUUGGAAACUGGUUGGCUUGAGUGUGGAAGAGGUAAGUGGAAUUCCUAGUGUAGCGGUGAAAUGCGUAGAUAUUAGGAGGAACACCAGUUGCGAAGGCGGCUCUCUGGACUGUAACUGACGCCGAGGCACGAAAGCGUGGGGAGCAAACAGGAUUAGAUACCCUGGUAGUCCCUGAG
rnacentral:rRNA from 1 species